rnacentral:rRNA from 1 species
GGGUUGUGAGGUUAAGCGACUAAGCGUACACGGUGGAUGCCCUGGCAGUCAGAGGCGAUGAAGGGCGUGCUAAUCUGCGAUAAGCGCCGGUAAGGUGAUAUGAACCGUUAUAACCGGCGAUACCCGAAUGGGGAAACCCAGUGUGAUUCGUCACACUAUCAUUAACUGAAUUCAUAGGUUAAUGAGGCGAACCGGGGGAACUGAAACAUCUAAGUACCC